rnacentral:rRNA from 1 species
GACGAACGCUGGCGGCGUGCUUAACACAUGCAAGUCGAACGGAAAGGCCCUGCGUUUGUGGGGUGCUCGAGUGGCGAACGGGUGAGUAACACGUGAGUAACCUGCUCUUGACUUUGGGAUAACUUCAGGAAACUGGGGCUAAUACCGGAUAGGAGCCCCUGCUGCAUGGUGGGCGUUGGAAAGUUUCGGCGGUUGGGGAUGGACUCGCGGCUUAUGAGCUUGUUGGUGGGGUAGUGGCUUACCAAGGCUUUGACGGGUAGCCGGCCUGAGAGGGUGACCGGCCACAUUGGGACUGAGAUACGGACCAGACUGCUACGGGAGGCAGCAGUGGGGAAUAUUGCACAAUGGGCGGAAGCGUGAUACAGCAACGCCGCGGGCGGGAUGACGGCCUUCGGGUUGUGAACCGCUUUCGCCUGUGACGAAGCGUGAGUGACGGUAAUGGGUAAAGAAGCACCGGCUAACUACGUG